rnacentral:rRNA from 1 species
AUUCCAGCCCCAAUAGCGUAUAUUAAUGUUGUUGCAGUUAAAAAGCUCGUAGUUGGAUUUCUGGGUUCUUCGCUAGCUUUGGUCCGCAAGGGCUUCAGUGGGCUGUUUGAAUCCAUCCUCAGGGGGACCCAUGCUGGUAUUCAUUUAUCGGUGUGGGAACGCCUGUCGUUUACUGUGAACAAAUUAGAGUGUUCAAAGCAAGGUGUACUUGAAUACAUUAGCAUGGAAUAAUAAGAUAGGACUUUGGUGGUUCUUUUUGAUAUUUUGUUGGUUUGCACGCCAAAGUAAUGAUUAAUAGGAGCAGUUGGGGGUAUUCGUAUUCAAUUGUCAGAGGUGAAAUUCUUGGAUUUAUAGAAGACGAACUACUGCGAAAGCAUUUACCAAGGAUGUUUUCAUUA